rnacentral:lncRNA from 1 species
CAGAAUGUUGUCAUUCUUGCCCAGGGACAAGCCUUGCUGACCAGGCAAAAGACCUUUCACACCAGGGAUCACUGAGUCAAAUCUAUCAAGGUGCCCUUGAAUCUCUCUUUGAAAUCUCCAAAUUAUGGUUAUCGAACUUAAGAGUUUCCCAGACCGUCAGGGCCUCCAUAACUCAGAAAGGCUUCCUGACCACCCAGUCCAUGCCCGACAUUCUUCUAUCCUUCCUACCUACCUGCCACUAAAUUAGGUAUUUCAUAACAAUGAUAUACCUUCUUUAUCAGGGCUUACCUUUGAAAUGAAAUUACUUUGCAAAGUAUUUGUCCAUCCCGAUUGGGCUGUAUGUUUUGUAAGAACAAAGACUGUGUAAUACUUGCCUACCUUGUAUGCCCAGCCUGCCCCAAAUGCCAGGCACAUAAUAAGCACUCCACAAAUAUUUGGUAAUAAUGACUGAAUGCAUGAUGUAUCUUAAGUUGUUGUGCUCUGCUUCCCAGGAUUUCUGUAUUCCAUGCUGAUUCCAGUUUAAUGGACCUAGUUUGUUUGAUGAUUGUUUAAUUUUCCUCAUUAGCCUCCCUUUUCUUUUAUGAAAUACAUUCCUUUAAGAAACCAUAGCGGUAUUUCUGAAGUUUUGCAACUAGGGGUCUGCUAUCAGUUAGGCAAACAUUUUUCCCCCAUCAGUCUUCUUUUGCACUUUAGCCAAAUUUUUUAAAAGUCCAUUUAUUCAGCCAACAAAUAUUUGCAUAUGCCCACUAUAUGCCAGGCCCUGUGCUGAAGAAGAUAUAAUGUCUGUCCUCAGAGAGCUUACCUUUUAGUAAG